AGUCAGCAAGAGACGCUGGGGAGAGAGCAGGGAUCGCGAGCCCGGCGGAUGCGGCAGCGGCGGAAGGCGGCUGGGGAGACGCUACUCCAACUGUUGAAUUGAAUUUUCACCUUUCCUUUCAUCCGCUGCUUUGCUUGCGGAGAUGGAUUUAUUUGCUUUGAAAUCCGCAUAUCUUUCUCAGACUGUGGGGUGAUCCCGGCAGACACCAGACUGAAAGAGACCACCCGUGACAGAAAAGGAGGAAUUAAAAAAAAAAAAAACCUCCACAACAGACUGCACAAUUAACUGUACACAUCGAUGUUGGACUUUGUGAAUAGAAAAAAUUGAGAGGAAAAUCUUGAACUAUGAUGCGAGGCUAAGCUGGGAACAAUUACUGGAAACCUGAUUUUGUUUUUCCUUUUCCAAGACUCUGAAAAAUUUCGGGGUACCUCUCGCCUAACCAAGAGGAAAGGUUUAAAAAAAAUAAACAAAAUAAAUAAACCAAUACACCUAGCAAAGCAGACGCCUUGUUUUCCAGAACCUCGGACUCCGGCAGAAAGAGGUAGAGUAAAAGUGCUGCUAGAUUCAGCUUCACCUUCUUCCCUCCAUCCUUUUCUCUUGCAUUUUCUUUUUCCCCAAAAACAUGAAUCUGGUUUUUCUUUCUAUAGACUGAGUCAGAGAAAGCGUUAGGAAGAAGCCGCAACUAAUGUCUGUGAAGGGAGGACCAUGAGGCGAGAGUGAAUACGAUUCGUUCCGCUGCUUCUGACUCAUCCGGCAGAUCGGAACACCUGCAUUUCUGGAUGUGUCAUUCCCGUAUGUCGAGGCGCCUCCAGAACCCGAAAUAAUGUGUAGACAGACCUGUGUCUAACAUCCCCUCGGAGGGAGCUCCCCGGGGUAGGAGCCCCUGGCUGGACCGCCGCGGCCGCAGCUCUGCACCCCCUGCCCUCCCUGAGUCGCCCAGAAAAACUGAAAGAGAGACUGCAGAAUGCAUCACGCCAAACCUUGAUGUGUUGCUUUCAUCCAGCCCACUCCUCCUACUAUAAGAGAAAAUUGAAGGAAAAAAAAAAA
rnacentral:lncRNA from 1 species